rnacentral:sRNA from 1 species
ACAGCCUGCUGGGAAGCUGCAGAUGGGCAGGGUCUGCAGCUGCGCAGAGAAUGAAAUGGAUGGUCCAACACAGACAAGGCCGACCACUCCACCGGAUGAAAGCCUUGUCAGAGCAAAUCUGUAGAUUACCAGUUCCUUUUCAUUGGAAAGAGAAUUCUUUUCACAUCAACUAUAUUCAAGUCUACAACAGGUUAAACGUGACCAUGUUUAUGAUCAACUUCAAUAGAGCAUGAAUAGUCUACCUCAUUUUGUUUGAUUAUACAUAGCCUCUUUAUCAGUGAGAAAUAUGAGUUCAUUGAUUUGAGAAAUCAAUAUAAAAAUUGUAUGCAGGGUGGUUUCAAAAUCAUACUGAGGAAGCAACAUUUCUAAUUGCAGUUUUCUCAGACAACCCUUUUGUCAUUUGGGGAGGGAAUGUCCAGUUAUUUUUUAAGCUACCUGGGUAAGAUUCCUUUCCUCACUACUUUCAGAAAUCAGGCUUUUUACGUACAUUCAAAAAGGAGGUAUGCUGUUUUGUCCAUAUUACUUCACAGGGUAACCCAACUUACUGUUUACUGUGUACAAAGUGUAGGAUUAAUCUUUAUGCUAAAAAAUGUAUACAAUUUUAAGACAAGACCAUGGAAGUGCUUUAGUGCAUUACAGUAAUUAUCUUCAUCUUACCCAUGAAACCUUUCAUGACCCAAGUGACCUUGUAGUUAUUAAUAAUUAUAUUGGUUUAUUACUCCUGCACAACACCCUUUUCACAGUGUUACAUACACGAGGUUUCGAUUUUUUUCUACCCCAUCUUUUUAUUUAGUUCUGUGCCUCUUGUAUAAUAAAGUACAUUUCGUGGCAGUUAGGCAUGUAGUUGCCUAAGGAUGGAAAGUAUUGAGAAAUUAUGAUAUUCUAAUAAGAUAUCCCUGUAGGUACUGUGGAGAAAGGUGUACUAAAAUUCUCACGUUAAUUAAGACUGUUUUCCCUUCCUUUUUAGUUGUAAUAUAUUUUAUAUAUGCUAGUAAACACAUCUAUAUUCUAUACUCAGGGAUCACACUUUAUUCCAUUGAUUGAGAUAUAUAUGUUUAUUUCACACUAUAUUUUGUUUCUAGUAUUAUUUUUGUUUGUUUUCUUGCUGCUAAUUUAGAUGUUAAUGUUUUGUUCCAGUUUAUAAUCUCUUGUGGGCAGAAGAUGACAGAACUGACAUACUACAGAGGAAGGUAUGAAGAGUUACAGCGAGCAAGUAUGGGCCAUUCUCUCAGGUAUUUCUGCAGAAGCCACCCAUUAUAAGUGCACCAAACUUAUGUAUCAUUGGUAAGAAUUGCUCACAUGUGUUUAUACAUUAUGGCCGUUUUAAAGCAUAGAUUAACCCAUAAUGUUCAAGAGAGAGCCUCCUUGUUUUUCUUUUAAAUUCAUUUGUUUUGAUUUCGUGCAUAUAAUUAUUUUGUCUAUAUUUUUUUUUGUUGUUGUUGUUUUCUUUUGGGCAACACUUCCAUUCCUGGUAGCUGCUGUGGCCAGAAGAUGAUACUGAAUUUCUGAGAGCUGGAGUCAAGGGUGAUUGUGAGUUACCAUGUGGGUGCUGACAAAGGAACACAAGUCCUUUGGAAGUGCUCCUAAUCCAAGCCAUAUCACGAGACAGAGUCACCUUAGCUUUGUUGUUGUUGUUGAUGAUGAUGUUGUUGUUGUUUUUGACACAGAGUCUCUCACAGGGACCUGAGUUUCACAGAUUUGACUGCCUGACCAGGGACCUCCAGGGACAUGGAAUUCUUGACUUUCCAGUGUUUGCUAGGACUGAAGAUGUGUACCACCAUCACCCCACGGUUGUAAGGAAGCCAUACGUGUCUGACUGAAAAAUGGAUUACUUAGAUAAGGAUGACCCUUGAAGAACAAUCUUGCUUUGGGUUGAGAUACUUCAGUUAUGAAGACCACUUAGCCAGAGGCAGAACUACAGAAGGAAAAAGCAAGAUCUACCUGAGGACCAAGCUAUGUCACUCUUUGGAAUAUACC